GACAGAGGGUGCAAACGUUGCUCGGAAUUACUGGGCGUAAAGCGUGCGCAGGCGGUUCGUGAUGUCUGAUGUGAAAGCCCCGGGCUUAACCUGGGAAUUGCAUUGGAAACUAGCGGGCUGGAGUGUGGCAGAGGGGGGUGGAAUUCCACGUGUAGCAGUGAAAUGCGUAGAGAUGUGGAGGAACACCGAUGGCGAAGGCAGCCCCCUGGGCUGACACUGACGCUGAGGAGCGAGAGCAUGGGGAGCGAACAGG
rnacentral:rRNA from 1 species